rnacentral:misc_RNA from 1 species
UCCCCGUUACCGGGGCAGUCUGAAUAGAAAAAUCCAACUAUUCACAAGGGUUGCGCUCGUUAAUGGACUUAACCAAACAUCUCACGACACGAGCUGACGACGGCCAUGCAUCAUCUGUCACUUGGUUCAAUAAAGCACUCUCUUCUUUCGAAGAGAUUCCAAGGAUGUCAAACCCUGGUAAGGUUCUUCGGUUAGCAUCGAAUUAAAGAACAUAAUCCACUGCUUGUGCGGCUCCCCGUCAAUUCCUUUAUGUUUUAGUCUUGCGACCGUACUCCACAGGCGGGAUACUUAACGCGUUAGCUUCGCUACGGAAGGGGUCGAUACCCCCCACAGCUAGUAUCCAUCGUUUACGGCGUGGACUAC